rnacentral:rRNA from 1 species
GCGCGAAAACUUUACAAUGCGGGAAACCGCGAUAAGGGGACACUGAGUGCCAGCACCAUGUGCUGGCUGUCCGCAUGUACAAAUCACAUGUGUCAGCAAGGGCCGGGCAAGACCGGUGCCAGCCGCCGCGGUAACACCGGCGGCCCGAGUGGUGGCCAUUAUUAUUGGGUCUAAAGGGUCCGUAGCCGGUUUGAUCAGUCUUCCGGGAAAUCUGACAGCUCAACUGUUAGGCUUCUGGGGGAUACUGUCAGACUUGGAACCGGGAGAGGUAAGAGGUACUACAGGGGUAGGAGUGAAAUCUUGUAAUCCUUGUGGGACCACCAGUGGCGAAGGCGUCUUACCAGAACGGGUUCGACGGUGAGGGACGAAAGCUGGGGGCACGAACCGGAUUAGAUACCCGGGUAGUCCCAGCCGUAAACGAUGCUCGCUAGGUGUCUGGGAUGGUGCGACCGUUUCAGGUGCCGCAGGGAAGCCGUGAAGCGAGCCACCUGGGAAGUACGGCCGCAAGGCUGAAACU